AGAGUUUGAUCCUGGCUCAGAACGAACGCUGGCGGCGUGCCUAACACAUGCAAGUCGAGCGAGAAAGUUCCCUUCGGGGAGCGAGUACAGCGGCGAACGGGUGAGUAUAACGUAGGUAACCUACCCCCGAGACUGGGAUAACCUGUCGAAAGACGGGCUAAUACCGGAUAAGACCACGAAGGCUGCGGCCUUUGCGGCAAAAGGUGGCCUCUGCUUGCAAGCUACCACUCGAGGAUGGGCCUGCGCGCCAUUAGCUAGUUGGUGGGGUAACGGCUCACCAAGGCGAAGAUGGCUAGCUGGUCUGAGAGGAUGGCCAGCCACACUGGGACUGAGACACGGCCCAGACUCCUACGGGAGGCAGCAGUGGGGAAUCUUGCGCAAUGGGCGAAAGCCUGACGCAGCGACGCCGCGUGGGUGAUGAAGGCCUUCGGGUCGUAAAGCCCUGUCGGGAGGGAAGAAAUCUCGUCGGUCUAAUAUGCCGACGACUGACGGUACCUCUAAGAGCC
rnacentral:rRNA from 1 species